CAUUUAACGCGCCCUUGAGACAAAGCAGGGCUUUGACUAUACCUUUCUUUCCCUUGGGACUUCAAGGAAGAAAUGCCUGGAUUCUGACAGGGCAACAGAGAUUUUUGGGUUUCUCUGAGCCACCUUCAGCUGGGGGCUGUAAUAUCAGGAACUGUUUCUGCCAAAAUUUUCAAGACAGGAGCUAAGCUUUGACAUUUGCAGAUGAAACUAAACUAGCAGGAUGUUUGGCAGUGCCCAUGGCAGCAACAAGAUGUACGGGGCCUUGCAGCUGAGGUGCCACGCUCCGGCAGGUCAGGCACUAGGGACAGAGUGGGUCCCUGGGCCAUGGCUGCACCUGGCUCUCACCAGAGAGACAACAGAGCUGAGGCUUUUGCUCACGUGCAGAAGGCAAAGGGAGGCUGCUGAUUAUGUAAAGGAAGUCAGGGUUUGACAUCUAUCUGUUCCCCCAUCCUGCCCUUGCAAUUCUCCUUUCCCAUUGCAAGCUGUCGGAUGGAGACGGGAUUCAGGACCAGGCCUGGUGUGUAUGACCGGGAUACAGCUGCACCUCAGCUCCUGCAUGGACAUUCCCAAGCACUCCCUCACCACUGGCUGCAUUUCCUGGGCCAUGUGCUGGAGCAGAUGCAAGCUUCUUGCACAAGAAGGCGCAGACCUGGCUGGAUUUAUAUCUUUGUGGGAGCAGAGGCACUGGCUGCUGCCAACGGCUCUCAGCGAGGAGCACUUCAGGCAAGUCCCAUCUGUGUCCCUGUCCAAUGUCAUGAUGUAGGAAUGCAGCUACUGCUCAGGCAGCUGGCCACGGCAACUGCAGGGCUGACAUGUGCCCGCCAGCCUCAGUGGAGAGGGGCCUGACUGACACCAAGAGAAGCCUGAAGUUUUCAGGGCUUGCUACAGAUUCUGGGACAUGCUCGCAGCACAAGCAGUGUCUCUCCCUCUCCCUCUCCUCUCCCUCUCUGGCCUCUCUGUGGCACAUGAGAAAGGACAGAGGGGUGAAUGAAAUGGGCUUGUGGAUGGGACUCUGCUGGAUCACAUGGGAAGCCUUAACCUGAGUGGAAAAUGCCCACUUGAACAGCAAGUGAAUCUGAACCCGUAAUUAGCCGUGCCAUCACGUGUCUGCUUUGCAGCCGUGUGCACAAACUAGUGACUCGUUCAUGCUCUGCUUGUUCUCCACAUUAAACACUCCCUGCUCCUGUCUUUCAGAAAAGAACAGAGCACCUGGUCUGAUCCUCAUGGAGAGGAGUGGGGAUCUCUGUAUGGGCUUCCAGGACAGCUGUGCCCUGACACACAACCAGCCCUGUGGCAGACAUCAAAUGCUGUUGUUCCCUGGCAGUCUGCUGAUGUUAUCGCUCUUUCUUUGAGGAGUCAGAAACAACAAGAUCCUACAAUGACAAACCACAACGUCUCUUGUGGUACAUAAAGACAGAAGGGAUUUCCACACUCUUAAGCUCAAAUCUUCUGAGGCUGCGAGUCCACAAUAAAGCAGCAAGGUGAUGUGAAAUGUGUUAAGGACUAAACUCGUGUCCAAGCCCAGUUCAGCAGAGAGUAAGAGGUGUGCAGGCACUCAGCAGGGAUGGAUGCACACUGACAUCCUGAUGUCACCCUUCAGCCAGGGAAGCUGGGGCAGGAAAACCAAGUGGCUUUAAACUGGAGCAUGAUAAAUGAAUUAUCUGGAUUAUUUAAGGUGCUAGUUUGCCAUGCAGUGCCUGGACUUGAUGCACUGAAUUACUUUCCAGUCCUGUAUUCCUACACAAAACUAAGUCCUACUAAGGACUAUUGUAAGUCCUGCAAAUAAAAGUGCUCCCUGAUCUCCCUGGAUCUUGCAUGGAUGUGGCACAGGGGGGAAAGGUCAGACUGUGUGUGUGCAAAGUUUACUCAUGACAUAUUUACACUAACAUCACAAUCUAGAGGACUGCUGUAAGCAGAUGCUGACCUGCAUUUUGAGGUUGGAUUGAAGGCAUUCACUCCAACAAGCCAU